UACUUUAUAUACAACUAGUAAGAGUCAGCUGAUAUUUUCAACAUUCUGCCUGGAGAUCAAGUCCAAAAAUUCAUAAGCUUAUAGAAGAAUACGACAUACAGAAAAAUAUAUAUUCUGCAAAGAAAACACAGUUAUGUAGGGAACCUUUCCAUCCCCAGUCUGGACCCAGGCUUGUACUCAUAAAUCCUGGCUGCCUUCACAGCAUCAACCUAUAAUUUUUUGUCCACCUCGACUUAUGAAUUAUCAAGAGCUCUCUUAGAUUAUCUGCCUUUUAGCAGGGGCUGAGGAUUAUUAAUAUUCCAGCCUAUAUUUAGAAUUGGCAAAUGCCAUUAAGGGACCUGUGAGAGAAAGCCGGGGAAGCAGAACCCUUUGAUGGAGACAACAGAGUCAGGACAAUAUUGUUUAAAACUCCUAAAUCCAAACAUGCCUGAAGCUAUAAGUUACUUCUGAAAUUUAAAAAUUUUCCAGUGAUUCAAGUUUGACACACCACACCACGGUGGAUGUGCCUUGUCAUGACACAUCUCAGCAGCACUAGAAGAUACAUCCAAAGUCCUGUGAGCAAGGUCUGUGGUAUCUGUUUAUUAUGGCAGCCCAGUAAGACUAAGACAGGCCAUCACAAGACGUGAACGUUUUGGACCUUCUCUUGGGCCCUAGUAAACAGAAAUCAGGCUAUUUAUUAAACUAAUCCACGUUCUGAACAGUUAUUGCUACUGGAAACCAGUCCCGAUCCAGACCACAAAAGACGAUUCUUGGAUCUUGCACAAGAAAGAAAGGCUACUGCUCACAGUAAAAGAGCACUUGGUGGAAAUUUUGUUCUGAAGUGAAGGCUGAAACCCCAGAGAUCAAACACUGUACUCAAGUAUACAAAGCUGGACUCAGACCCUAACACUGGCUUUAAAAUUUGUCCUAACUUAGACCAUAAUGCCUCUCUUUCCAGCUGGAUCUACAUGCCUCCACUCUGGCUUUUAACAAGGCUCUGAACUAUUGUCAGAACUUGGGAAUUUCUAACAUUGAAGAGUAGAAUCACAUGGGGGCAAUUUAAAGAAUUUCAUCAAUACCUUCAAAUUAAAUAAACCAGCAUCUGGUUGAAAAAAAAAAAUCACUUACCUGGAAGGAGAAACCAAAGAAACAUCCUCAAAUUCUAAAGCUUCAUUCAAAAUUCAAGGUAAGGAAACCAAAUUUCCACAAUAUGAUCCCUUAAAAUCACCAAGAAUGUUCAAAACUACAUUUGAUAACAACAGCUCACACAACUACUUGGCUCUCCUAGAUUCCUAAGACCCUAACCAGCUAAUAGACGUCUGUGGACAUAUUCAAUUCUGCAAAGCUGCAAAAUAUCUGUGAGAAGAUGGUUUUUGAAUAGGACUUUUUACUAUAGCUAUAUACUAUUUAGUUCAGUAAACUGGGUAGAAAGCAUUGAAGCAAACUCGUAACCAUUGAACAACAAACUUUAGUUUGCCAAAACUGCUUAGGGACUGGAUUAAGGGAAGGCUCUCCUGUUAUUUUUAUCUCUUUGCCUUUGGUGCUCUCAGCUUUCUGUAGCUAAAGUAGCUUUCAAAAAUCUACUUGUGUCAUUCCUAGAUUAAAGGUCAGUUUAAGUAUUGUCCUGUUGAAUUCAGAAGGUACAUUUAAGCUAGAAAACCACUUGCAGCACAUCUAAUCCAAAUUGCCGACUUUACAGAUAGACAUUUGGUCUCAUAAAAAUUAAAUGACUAGCUCAGAUCAGCAUAUCUGGUAAGCAGCAGAACUGAGACUUAAUU
rnacentral:lncRNA from 1 species